GUGUGGUGGCAUGCCUGGCAAAUCCAAUGAAUUUAAAAACUCAAUUGGAUAAUUCACAGUUGGUCUCGCAAAUUGCAUCGAUAGAUUUGUACGACACCAAGUGCCCAGGCAACAUCUGUUGUACCUUUAAAUUUAAGCCAUUGACGUCCCAAUUUUUCGCUGACAAAAUCCUCUACGUUUGUUGCGUUGUUGUUCAAUUCCUUUACGUCUGUCGACUAUGUAUCUGCGCGUUACUCUCAGUUCUACUUGCUUUUGUUGAUUUCGUUUAUCUCUGGCCUCUUGCAAUUGUGAUUCACGUAACCGCGCCACGCUCAUCUGCAUAGUUUUUUUGUAUUUGUUCACCUGAAAUUCGUACUCUUAUAUCUGAUGUUUUCGGUUUCGAGAUGAAACGAAUAAUGAUUUCAUACACAAUAUUCAAACCACAGGACCGAAUUUUUUGUUUGGCCUACUGGGAUUUCAUAUGAGAAUAUGAGAAUUACCUUGCCAUAUCACUUUCACAAUCAAUGCGAAUCAAAAUUUUUCAAAACAUAAGGGCGUGUAAAAAAAUUAUGCAUCCAAAAUCUUGACUAGAUCAGACCACUUCUUCGGGUACUUCCCAAAAAUAAAAGGACAUAGAUGUUUGGGACGUACCCGAAGGAGUGGUCUUAUCGUGAUGAAAAAUAGAUGUUGGUCGAUGCGCAGACCUCACCGAUAAGCACACAAAAUUUCACGACAACCGGUCAAGCCAUUUCGGAGGAGUUAAGCCACAAAAUUUGUGAACGAGAAUUUCAUAUAUUAAAUCCAUUGUUUAAAAUCCA
rnacentral:sRNA from 15 species